UUAAGUUAUUAAGGGCGCACGGUGGAUGCCUUGGCACUAGAAGCCGAUGAAGGACGUUACUAACGACGAUAUGCUUUGGGGAGCUGUAAGUAAGCUUUGAUCCAGAGAUUUCCGAAUGGGGAAACCCAGCAUGAGUUAUGUCAUGUUAUCGAUAUGUGAAUACAUAGCAUAUCAGAAGGCACACCCGGAGAACUGAAACAUCUUAGUACCCGGAGGAAGAGAAAGAAAAUUCGAUUCCCUUAGUAGCGGCGAGCGAAACGGGAAGAGCCCAAACCAACAAGCUUGCUUGUUGGGGUUGUAGGACACUCUAUACGGAGUUACAAAGGACGACAUUAGACGAAUCAUCUGGAAAGAUGAAUCAAAGAAGGUAAUAAUCCUGUAGUCGAAAAUGUUGUCUCUCUUGAGUGGAUCCUGAGUACGACGGAGCACGUGAAAUUCCGUCGGAAUCUGGGAGGACCAUCUCCUAAGGCUAAAUACUCUCUAGUGACCGAUAGUGAACCAGUACCGUGAGGGAAAGGUGAAAAGCACCCCGGAAGGGGAGUGAAAUAGAACCUGAAACCGUGUGCUUACAAGUAGUCAGAGCCCGUUAAUGGGUGAUGGCGUGCCUUUUGUAGAAUGAACCGGCGAGUUACGAUUUGAUGCAAGGUUAAGCAGUAAAUGUGGAGCCGUAGCGAAAGCGAGUCUGAAUAGGGCGUUUAGUAUUUGGUCGUAGACCCGAAACCAGGUGAUCUACCCUUGGUCAGGUUGAAGUUCAGGUAACACUGAAUGGAGGACCGAACCGACUUACGUUGAAAAGUGAGCGGAUGAACUGAGGGUAGCGGAGAAAUUCCAAUCGAACCUGGAGAUAGCUGGUUCUCUCCGAAAUAGCUUUAGGGCUAGCCUCAAGUGAUGAUUAUUGGAGGUAGAGCACUGUUUGGACGAGGGGCCCCUCUCGGGUUACCGAAUUCAGACAAACUCCGAAUGCCAAUUAAUUUAACUUGGGAGUCAGAACAUGGGUGAUAAGGUCCGUGUUCGAAAGGGAAACAGCCCAGACCACCAGCUAAGGUCCCAAAAUAUAUGUUAAGUGGAAAAGGAUGUGGCGUUGCCCAGACAACUAGGAUGUUGGCUUAGAAGCAGCCAUCAUUUAAAGAGUGCGUAAUAGCUCACUAGUCGAGUGACACUGCGCCGAAAAUGUACCGGGGCUAAACAUAUUACCGAAGCUGUGGAUUGUCCUUUGGACAAUGGUAGGAGAGCGUUCUAAGGGCGUUGAAGCAUGAUCGUAAGGACAUGUGGAGCGCUUAGAAGUGAGAAUGCCGGUGUGAGUAGCGAAAGACGGGUGAGAAUCCCGUCCACCGAUUGACUAAGGUUUCCAGAGGAAGGCUCGUCCGCUCUGGGUUAGUCGGGUCCUAAGCUGAGGCCGACAGGCGUAGGCGAUGGAUAACAGGUUGAUAUUCCUGUACCACCUAUAAUCGUUUUAAUCGAUGGGGGGACGCAGUAGGAUAGGCGAAGCGUGCGAUUGGAUUGCACGUCUAAGCAGUAAGGCUGAGUAUUAGGCAAAUCCGGUACUCGUUAAGGCUGAGCUGUGAUGGGGAGAAGACAUUGAGUCUUCGAGUCGUUGAUUUCACACUGCCGAGAAAAGCCUCUAGAUAGAAAAUAGGUGCCCGUACCGCAAACCGACACAGGUAGUCAAGAUGAGAAUUCUAAGGUGAGCGAGCGAACUCUCGUUAAGGAACUCGGCAAAAUGACCCCGUAACUUCGGGAGAAGGGGUGCUCUUUAGGGUUAACGCCCAGAAGAGCCGCAGUGAAUAGGCCCAAGCGACUGUUUAUCAAAAACACAGGUCUCUGCUAAACCGUAAGGUGAUGUAUAGGGGCUGACGCCUGCCCGGUGCUGGAAGGUUAAGAGGAGUGGUUAGCUUCUGCGAAGCUACGAAUCGAAGCCCCAGUAAACGGCGGCCGUAACUAUAACGGUCCUAAGGUAGCGAAAUUCCUUGUCGGGUAAGUUCCGACCCGCACGAAAGGCGUAACGAUUUGGGCACUGUCUCAACGAGAGACUCGGUGAAAUCAUAGUACCUGUGAAGAUGCAGGUUACCCGCGACAGGACGGAAAGACCCCGUGGAGCUUUACUGUAGCCUGAUAUUGAAAUUCGGCACAGCUUGUACAGGAUAGGUAGGAGCCUUUGAAACGUGAGCGCUAGCUUACGUGGAGGCGCUGGUGGGAUACUACCCUAGCUGUGUUGGCUUUCUAACCCGCACCACUUAUCGUGGUGGGAGACAGUGUCAGGCGGGCAGUUUGACUGGGGCGGUCGCCUCCUAAAAGGUAACGGAGGCGCUCAAAGGUUCCCUCAGAAUGGUUGGAAAUCAUUCAUAGAGUGUAAA
rnacentral:rRNA from 4 species